AUGACCGCACCAUCCAAACGCAGUCCCUCCCAAAGCCGGCUCGAACCCAGAUGCACGUCAUUGGAUUCCAUCCCACAUGCAACUUCUUUCGUGCAGUGUCACGGGUGCAUGCCGUACACGUGCCACCAUAUAUGGACAUUUCUAUACGGUUGUUCAUUAUGGAUGUACACUUGGUCUGAGUUACUUGAAACUCACGCAUUUCCUGCUCGUUUUCUUUUUAUUUUUCCAAGUUUCAACAUUGUUGUUGUAUUCAAACUAUUUCUUUUCCUAUUUUUCAUUUCUUUUCAAGAAGAGUCUCUUGAAUGCUAUUGCUAUUUGUGCUCUAUUUUUAUUCUCUUUGAGCAAGAUAAGUGCAAACAUCAAACCAUGUAA